AACGAACGCUGGCGGCAUGCCUAACACAUGCAAGUCGAACGAGACCUUCGGGUCUAGUGGCGCACGGGUGCGUAACGCGUGGGAAUCUGCCCUUAGGUACGGAAUAACUCAGGGAAACUUGUGCUAAUACCGUAUGAUGUCGAGAGACCAAAGAUUUAUCGCCUAGGGAUGAGCCCGCGUAGGAUUAGCUAGUUGGUGGGGUAAAGGCCUACCAAGGCUACGAUCCUUAGCUGGUCUGAGAGGAUGAUCAGCCACACUGGGACUGAGACACGGCCCAGACUCCUACGGGAGGCAGCAGUGGGGAAUAUUGGACAAUGGGCGAAAGCCUGAUCCAGCAAUGCCGCGUGAGUGAAGAAGGCCUUCGGGUUGUAAAGCUCUUUUACCCGGGAAGAUAAUGACUGUACCGGGAGAAUAAGCCCCGGCUAACUCCGUGC
rnacentral:rRNA from 1 species